rnacentral:lncRNA from 1 species
UCCGGGAGGGGAGUCCCGGCCUAGCCCGGUGGGCACGUUCUGCCAUCCGUGAUGAGGGCUCCCAGAGAGAGAGAGAGAGAGAGAGAGCCCGGCCAGGCGCGCGGGGCCCUGGUCCCCCAGCCCCUCUGCCCGGCGGGACACUGUCCCUUUAACAGACUGGUUCUGCCUGGCGCUUUGCGGCUGGGGAGUAAAUCUCUCCCUGUCAUCAGGUCGCGGAGAGAGGAGGAGGAGGAGGAGUUUGUUAAUGUUCAGUUUGUUCAGCGGGAUCGAUGUUUCCUGGCAUCGCCUCACCCUGCCUUACGGAGAUCUGACAACAGCCACAACCCUGCGAGGGAUCUGGGGCGAGCCGCCAUCGAGGCCGGACCGAGGAGGAGGAGGAGGAAGAAAAGCUGCGGAGGUGGAGGAGGAGGAGGGGAAGAGGAGGAGGAAGACGAAGAAGAAAAAGAAGAAGCCCGCUGCCUCCCCAGGAUUGCUUUUUUCUUCCUUAUCUUUCCGCGCGCGUGUGCGUGCGGCGCGUGUGCGCCCCUCGUCCUUCCAUCUGAACCCGGUCUUGGAUGUUUAAUAAAGAAAUCAAGUGUCUCACCAGUCACCACAAAAAAAAAUCAAAACCAAAAAAUAUAUAUAUAUCCAAAAGCAAAAACAAAAACAGAGAGAGGAAAAAAAAAAA